CCUACGGGUGGCAGCAGUCGAGAAUCAUUCACAAUGGGGGAAACCCUGAUGGUGCGACGCCGCGUGGGGGAAUGAAGGUCUUCGGAUUGUAAACCCCUGUCAUGUGGGAGCAAAUUAAAAAGAUAGUACCACAAGAGGAAGAGACGGCUAACUCUGUGCCAGCAGCCGCGGUAAUACAGAGGGCUCAAGCGUUGUUCGGAAUCACUGGGCGUAAAGCGUGCGUAGGCUGGUUCGUAAGUCGGGUGUGAAAGGCGCGGGCCCAACCCGCGGACGGCACUUGAUACUGGGAGACUAGAGGAAAGGAGGGGGAACCGGAAUUCCUGGUGGAGGCGUGAAAUGCGUAGAUAU
rnacentral:rRNA from 1 species